rnacentral:lncRNA from 1 species
UUCCCAGUUUUCACCUAAAGACUCUAUGUGCAAAGAAGUAUUUCAGACCACAUACACACCAAAUGCCUGUCCAGACUAUAAUGGAUGCUGCUUUCUAAAUAACUUUUUUUUUCUUGCUCUGCUGGGAGACACAUCCCAAGUCAUGUUGAGAAUACUGCUCUAAGCAUCUUCUAAAACUGAGAAUUAGCUGUUCAAGCCAUUACUUAGUCAUUUCUAUGUUUCGUCACAUAAGCUUCACACAACAGUAAAACGUACUUUGUCACAAUUAUGCAGAAGAUGCUGCAAAUUCUCUCUUCCAUGGAGGAGAUCAGAGUCAUCUUCUCUGGCCACCUGCAUGUUCUCAGUGUGAAACAGAAAUUGUGUGUAAAGUAUGGCAUUAGUUACCAAACUGCAGUGGAAGGAUAAGAUGACUUUUUUUUCUAUUGUACUUGAAAAAGUGAAGACAUUAGUGAGGAAGGAGUUAAUCAUUGCAAAAUACACGGUCAUUUCCUGAGCCCUGUGGUUGGAUGAAUGCAAACUUUCAACUAUUUCUAAUUCUUCUCUGUCAUUUUAGAGGCUUUCAAGGUGCACUGUGCAUCCCAGAUCAGGGUGGAUUUGGUUUCAUCCCUGAUGCAUCUGCCUGGGCAGACAAAUUGGCUCUCUCUGAUGACUCUCUUACUCCGAGAGGAAAUCUGAUCUGCUACAGCACGGAAACUUCAGUGGUGACCAUGGCUAGACAAAGUCCUUAGGGAGCUGCCUGUUUUGAAGCCAAGAGUUCAUGAUAUGAUCCAGCUGGCUUACAGAGAU